UCUUUUCAAGGCAUCCCCACCAACCCCAUGAAUUACCCCAUAACAUCCAUAUGUGCUCCUUCCCAAGGACAGAUUGACAGAAAGAGAUACAAAAAGGGGAACAGACAAUGACACGUAUGAUUAUUCAGACAAUCUCAGACUGAUAACAUGAAUGGUAACUCUGGUAAAUGUAAACAUUUGGAGCAUACCUUUGGAAGAAUUUGUUUGCAUUCGGGCCGCUCUUUUCUUCCCACAUCUCUGUUCAAAGUGAGCAGCAGCCAUCUUUUGAUGAACGUUUAAAUCUCUCCAUCUGAUGCACUGCAAGUACUUGCAUUUCUUUGCACUGAUUGAAAAAGACAAAAAAAGACCAGUCGCAAUACAGUGGUGUCAAACUCAAUUCUUGGAGGGCCGCAGCUCUGCGCAGCUUAGUUCCAACCAGCUCCAACUCACACCUGCUUGGAAGUUUCUAGUAAUCCUGAAGACCUUGAUUAGCUGGAUCACGUGUGCUUGAUUAUGGUUGGAGCUAAACUCUAGCACUAUGUCAGCGAACUCACAAUUAUAGCUUCAUUAUAAAUAAACGUUAUUUCGAUAUUAUAUGUGUAGAAUGGUUUAUUAAAAUUAUAUUAUAUGUUAGAUUAUCAAAUGUUUACUCACAAGGGUAGCAAGUUCUUCUGGUCUUCUGGCAAUUAGCAGCACAAAAAGCCCGUCAGGUUUUGUCAUUAGAUGUCAAAGCUAGUGCGCAUGUCUUGAAACUCAUGCAUAUAGCAAAAAAAUGUUAAAGUUCCCUUAACCACUUUAAGCUUGUUUCAUUAUAUGAAUUAAAUCAUUAAUUUCCAAAAGUAGUUAAAGAAAAAACGAGAAUGUUGGAUAAAAGGGAAAAAAAAUAUUAAUAGGAAUUAAAAUAAAUACACAAAAAAUAACAUGGGCAGGUAAAAGAUAUUAUGUUUAAGUUUAAGUGUCACUGCUACAUACUAUUUACUAUUUACAUUGUAACUGGAAACUCACCACCAGCACUCAACCUAAACUGGUCCGGGUCUGCAUGCCCAUAUCUCACCCAAAAUCAGACCAGCCCUUAUGGUCCGUAAUCGGGCCGAAUGUGGCUAAAUGUGCCGUGUCUCAGUGCAAAUCGGACCAGAUCUGCACAUCCAAAGCCUAGCCAAAUCUGGCAACCAUUACUGGGCCAGAGCUGGCUCACUUUUGGUGAGCCGCUGCCAGAACACAGCUGAGUGAGCCGACACUCAGCCGCAAUUGGCCCGAUUGCGCUGACUACCUGGGUUGAUUCUGAUUAGUCAGUUGUGGCAUUCAGUAGUCAAAUAUGUUUAAAUAAAUGCUAACCUUCUUCAGCAUUAUGACACUAUAAAAUCAUUUCUACUCAAAUAACUUUUUUCAUGUCCACAUAUUUAUUUAUUUGGCAAGUAGCUGUGUAAUACCUGAGAAAAAUGUAUAGUCGACCAAUUAUUAUUGCAAAAUUAAUUUGCAAUAGUAACCAGCUGACUGAACAUUAUCCGUUACAUAAACUUUAGUCAGGGUAGAUGCCAUUGAACAGCCUCAUUCAUGUCAAACUAAAUAUGACGUCCAUGCAUGGCAGGCCAUGAACAUCAAAACACUACAUUUUAAUUGG